rnacentral:tRNA from 1 species
GCUGCCGUAGCUCAGUGGUAGAGCACUCCCUUGGUAAGGGAGAGGUCGCUGGUUCAAUCCCAGCCGGCAGCACCA